rnacentral:rRNA from 1 species
GAUGAACGCUGGCGGCGUGCUUAACACAUGCAAGUCGAACGAGAGAAGAUUGGUGCUUGCACUGAUCCGAUCGAGUGGCGGACGGGUGAGUAACGCGUGGGUAACCUGCCUCAUACAGGGGAAUAACAGUUGGAAACGGCUGCUAAAACCGCAUAAGCGCACAGUAUCGCAUGAUACAGUGUGAAAAACUCCGGUGGUAUGAGAUGGACCCGCGUCUGAUUAGCUAGUUGGUGAGGUAACGGCCCACCAAGGCAACGAUCAGUAGCCGGCCUGAGAGGGUGAACGGCCACAUUGGGACUGAGGACACGGGCCCAAACUCCUACGGGAGGCAGCAGUGGGGAAUAUUGCACAAUGGGGGAAACCCUGAUGCAGCGACGCCGCGUGAGUGAUGAAGUAUUUCGGAUGUAAAGCUCUAUCAGCAGGGAAGUAAUGACGGUACCUGACUAAGAAGCACC